GAGUUUGAUCCUGGCUCAGAACGAACGCUGGCGGCAGGCCUAACACAUGCAAGUCGAGCGCACCUUCGGGUGAGCGGCGGACGGGUUAGUAACGCGUGGGAACAUACCCUUUUCUACGGAAUAGCCUCGGGAAACUGAGAGUAAUACCGUAUAAGCCCUUCGGGGGAAAGAUUUAUCGGGAAAGGAUUGGCCCGCGUUAGAUUAGAUAGUUGGUGGGGUAAUGGCCUACCAAGUCUACGAUCUAUAGCUGGUUUUAGAGGAUGAUCAGCAACACUGGGACUGAGACACGGCCCAGACUCCUACGGGAGGCAGCAGUGGGGAAUCUUAGACAAUGGGCGCAAGCCUGAUCUAGCCAUGCCGCGUGUGUGAUGAAGGUCUUAGGAUCGUAAAGCACUUUCGCCAGGGAUGAUAAUGACAGUACCUGGUAAAGAAACCCCGGCUAACUCCGUGCCAGCAGCCGCGGUAAUACGGAGGAGGUUAGCGUUGUUCGGAAUUACUGGGCGUAAAGCGUACGUAGGCGGAUUGGAAAGUUGGGGGUGAAAUCCCAGGGCUCAACCCUGGAACUGCCUCCAAAACUAUCAGUCUAGAGUUCGAGAGAGGUGAGUGGAAUUCCAAGUGUAGAGGUGAAAUUCGUAGAUAUUUGGAGGAACACCAGUGGCGAAGGCGGCUCACUGGCUCGAUACUGACGCUGAGGUACGAAAGUGUGGGGAGCAAACAGGAUUAGAUACCCUGGUAGUCCACACCGUAAACGAUGAAUGCCAGCCGUCGGGCAGUAUACUGUUCGGUGACACACCUAACGGAUUAAGCAUUCCGCCUGGGGAGUACGGUCGCAAGAUUAAAACUCAAAGGAAUUGACGG
rnacentral:rRNA from 1 species